rnacentral:rRNA from 1 species
GAUUAUGGCUCAGGAUGAACGCUAGCUACAGGCUUAACACAUGCAAGUCGAGGGGCAGCAUGAUUCUAGCUUGCUAGAAUUGAUGGCGACCGGCGCACGGGUGAGUAACGCGUAUCCAACCUUCCCUAUAGUAGAGGAUAGCCCGGCGAAAGUCGGAUUUAAUACUCUAUGUUGUUCAAUGCGGACAUCUAAGUUGAACCAAAGGUUUACCGCUAUAGGAUGGGGAUGCGUCUGAUUAGACUGGUAGGCGGGGUAACGGCCCACCUAGUCGACGAUCAGUACGGGGUUCUGAGAGGAAGGUCCCCCACAUUGGAACUGAGACACGGUCCAAACUCCUACGGGAGGCAGCAGUGAGGAAUAUUGGUCAAUGGGCGAGAGCCUGAACCAGCCAAGUAGCGUGCAAGGAUGACGGCCCUAUGGGUUGUAAACUGGCUUUUAAUAUAGGGAUAAAGUGCACUACGUGUUAGUGUUUUGUAGGUACUAUAUGAAUAAGGACCGGCUAAUUCCGUGCCAGCCGCUGC